GCCUGGUUGGCCCAGUGGAAAAGGCGCUGCGGGGGCGGUUCUAAGCCAACCCGGUUCUGAACCGUGUGUUGGCCUGCCCUUCGGGAGACUCUGGUUCGAAUCCAGGACCGGGCA
rnacentral:tRNA from 1 species